rnacentral:rRNA from 1 species
GAUGAACGCUGGCGGCGUGCUUAACACAUGCAAGUCGAACGGAAAGGCUCCUGCUUGCAGGGGUACUCGAGUGGCGAACGGGUGAGUAACACGUGGGUGAUCUGCCCUGCACUUCGGGAUAAGCCUGGGAAACUGGGUCUAAUACCGGAUAGGACCACAUUUUGGAUGGUGUGGUGGAAAGUUUUUCGGUGUGGGAUGAGCUCGCGGCCUAUCAGCUUGUUGGUGGGGUAAUGGCCUACCGAGGCGUCGACGGGUAGCCGGCCUGAGAGGGUGUACGGCCACAUUGGGACUGAGAUACGGCCCAGACUCCUACGGGAGGCAGCAGGGGGGAAUAUUGCACAAUGGGCGCAAGCCUGAUGCAGCGACGCCGCGUGGGGGAUGACGGCCUUCGGGUUGUAAACUCCUUUCGCUAGGGACGAAGCGCAAGUGACGGUACCUGGAGAAGAAGCACCGGCUAACUACGUG